UACGUAGGGUGCGAGCGUUAAUCGGAAUUACUGGGCGUAAAGCGUGCGCAGGCGGUUUUGUAAGACAGAGGUGAAAUCCCCGGGCUUAACCUGGGAACUGCAUUGGUGACUGCAUUGCUGGAGUAUGGCAGAGGGGGGUGGAAUUCCACGUGUAGCAGUGAAAUGCGUAGAGAUGUGGAGGAACACCGAUGGCGAAGGCAGCCCCCUGGGCCAAUACUGACGCUCAUGCACGAAAGCGUGGGGAGCAAACAGG
rnacentral:rRNA from 1 species